rnacentral:tRNA from 1 species
AUGAGCUUAGGUUAAAAUAAACCAAUUGCCUUCAAAGCAAUAAAUAAACAAAAGUUUAGCUCUUA